rnacentral:rRNA from 1 species
AGGUUUCAAAGGCGGGGCAGAUUCAAUUUUCUGCCACCGAAUACAUUAGCAUGGGAUAAUGGAAUAGGACCCUGUCCUCCUAUUUUCAGUUGGUUUUGGCAGCGCGAGGACUAGGGUAAUGAUUAAUAGGGAUAGUUGGGGGCAUUAAUAUUUAAUUGUCAGAGGUGAAAUUCUUGGAUUUAUGAAAGAUUAACUUCUGCGAAAGCAUCUGCCAAGGAUGUUUUCAUUAAUCAAGAACGAAAGUUAGGGGAUCGAAGACGAUCAGAUACCGUCGUAGUCUUAACCAUAAACGAUGCCGACCAGCGAUUAGGAGACGUUGAAUACAAAACACCACCAUCGGCGCGGUCGCCCUUGGCGCGUUCGUGUUCACGCACGGGCGCGCGAGGGCGGUUUAGCCCGAUGGCACCGGUGAAUGACUCCCUAGCAGUUGGUAGAAAAGCCCAAAGUU